AGGGUUUGACAUCCUUGGAAUUUUGCCGAAAGGCGAGAGUGCUUUAUUGAACCAAGUGACAGAUGAUGCAUGGCCGUCGUCAGCUCGUGUCGUGAGAUGUUUGGUUAAGUCCAUUAACGAGCGCAACCCUUGUGAUUAGUUGUAUUUUUCUAAUCAGACUGCCCUGGCAACGGGGAGGAAGGUGGGGAUGACGUGUCGUUACCUUA
rnacentral:misc_RNA from 1 species